rnacentral:rRNA from 1 species
CAAUAGCGUAUAUUAAAGUUGUUGCAGUUAAAAAGCUCGUAGUUGGAUUUGUGGCUGUCACGGGCGGCCUAUCACUUAGUGUUAGUGCUUGCCUGUGUCGCCAUCCUUUGGUGGAGCCCGUGUGGCAUUAGGUUGUCGUGCGGGGGAUGCCCAUCGUUUACUGUGAGAAAAUUAGAGUGUUCAAAGCAGGCUUAUGCCGUUGAAUAUGUUAGCAUAGAAUAAUAAGAUAGGACCUCGGUACUAUUUUGUUGGUUUGCGCACCGAGGUAAUGAUUAAUAGGGACAGUUGGGGGUAUUCGUAUUUCAUUGUCAGAGGUGAAAUUCUUGGAUUUCUGAAAGACGAACUACUGCGAAAGCAUUUACCAAGGAUGUUUUCAUUAA